rnacentral:rRNA from 1 species
CCUACGGGCGGCUGCAGUGGGGAAUCUUGCACAAUGGAGGAAACUCUGAUGCAGCGACGCCGCGUGAGUGAUGAAGCCCUUCGGGGUGUAAAGCUCUUUCGACAGGAACGAUAAUGACGGUACCUGAAGAAGAAGCUGAGGCUAACUACGUGCCAGCAGCCGCGGUAAUACGUAGGCAGCAAGCGUUGUUCGGAAUUACUGGGCGUAAAGAGUGUGUAGGCGGUGCUCUAAGUUUGGUGUGAAAUCUCCCGGCUUAACCGGGAGGCUGCAUUGAAUACUGGAGUGCUAGAGGAUUGGAGAGGUAAGCGGAAUUCCUGGUGUAGCGGUGAAAUGCGUAGAUAUCAGGAGGAACACCUGUGGUGUAGACAGCUUACUGGACAAUUUCUGACGCUGAGACACGAAAGCGUGGGUAGCAAACAGGAUUAGAUACCCUGGUAGUC